rnacentral:rRNA from 1 species
UACGUAGGGUGCAAGCGUUAAUCGGAAUUACUGGGCGUAAAGCGUGCGCAGGCGGUUAUGUAAGACAGAUGUGAAAUCCCCGGGCUCAACCUGGGAACUGCAUUUGUGACUGGCGGGCUUGAGUGUGGCAGAGGGGGGUGGAAUUCCGCGUGUAGCAGUGAAAUGCGUAGAGAUGCGGAGGAACACCGAUGGCGAAGGCAGCCCCCUGGGCCAACACUGACGCUCAGGCACGAAAGCGUGGGGAGCAAACAGG